AGUCAGUGAGUGUCAGAGCGGUUGUGUCGGUGUGGUUGUGUCGGUGUGGUUGUGCGAUGCCUUGAAAAACACUUAGAUAACAGUCAGUAAGAUUGAGUCGGGGUGGUUCAGCUAUGCCUUGAAUAAAACUUAGAUAACAGUCAGUAAGAUUGUGUCUGUGUGGUUGUGUCGGUGUGGUUGUGCUAUGCCUUAAACACCUGGACAACAGUCAGUAAGAUUGUGUCUGUGUGGUUGUGUCUGUGUGAUUGUGUCUGUGUGGUUGUGUCAGUGUGUUUGUGCUAUGCCUUAAACACCUGGACAACAGUCAGUAAGAUUGUGUCUGUGUGGUUGUGUCGGUGUGAUUGUGUCUGUGUGGUUGUGUCAGUGUGGUUGUGCUAUGCCUUAAACACCUGGACAACAGUCAGUAAGAUUGUGUCUGUGUG